rnacentral:rRNA from 1 species
GACGUAGGGCGCGAGCGUUGUCCGGAUUAUUGGGCGUAAAGAGCUCGUAGGCGGCUUGUCGCGUCGUCUGUGAAAUCCCGCGGCUCAACUGCGGGUCUGCAGGCGAUACGGGCAGGCUAGAGUUCGGUAGGGGGAGACUGGAAUUCCUGGUGUAGCGGUGAAAUGCGCAGAUAUCAGGAGGAACACCGGUGGCGAAGGCGGGUCUCUGGGCCGAUACUGACGCUGACGGAGC